CUCCACGCUGGGUAAUGGACGACGGCGGCGUGUGGCGAACAGGGAUACCGGUAGUCAGUGUCUGGAACAUCCCAAGGGGCGGCGGAGCUAGCACCCCGACACGUUAAGGCUGGCGAGU
rnacentral:ncRNA from 1 species